GAUGACUUACUUCCGGUUUACACAUGAAGUGAGGGCAGAUGGAAGAGUUGUUUUCUGAUGGGGCGGGACGGUCCUACGGUACAACUUCCUAUCUGGGGUAGCUUGGAAAGUAGUUAUACCGUGUUGUUUUUUCGAUGUGUAUACAAAGAUUAUGUAUGGAGGUGAGCGUCGUUGGAGAGGGGGUACGGCCACUUGUAUCGUCGGUAGGGUCUGGAGAAGUUCCCACACUGGAAUGAGAACGGCCAGACUCUACGGAGCAGCAGUGAGGAUAUUGGUCAAUGGCGGAAGUUUGAACCAGCCAAGUAGCGUGCAGGAUGACGGCCUCCGGGUUGUUACUGUUUUAGUUGGGAAUAAAAAGAGGGAGUGUCCUAAUUGAUGUACCUUAGAAAGGGCCGGCUAAUUCCGUGCAGCAGCCGCGGUAUACGGAAGGUCUAGGCGUUAUCCGGGAUUUAUUGGGGUUAAAAGGGAGCGAGGCGGAUUAUUAAAGUCAGUGGGUGAAAGACGGGGCCUCAACCAUCGUUAGCCAUUGAAACUGGUAGUCUUGAGUGCAGACAGGGAUGCUGGAACUCGUGGUGUAGCGGUGAAAUGCUUAGAUAUCACGAUGAAUCCGAUCGCAAGGCAGGGUCCGGCUUGAACUGACGCUGAGGUCGAAAUGGGUAUCAAACAGAUUAGUACCUGGUAGUCCAAGGGCGAAUUCACAGGGAUUAAGCUAAUCGUACCGUCGACCUCGAGGGGGACCGUACCCAGCUUUGUUCCCUUAGGAGGGUUAAAUUAACU
rnacentral:rRNA from 1 species